CCCGGAACUGCAGCAAAGUUAAAGCGCCGCAGCCAGGAGAGGCUGGACUGGGAUUGUGCUCGGUUUGGUGCCAGUGCCAGAGCUGGGAGAAAUGCUUUGCUCAAGACUUUAAGGGAACAUCCCUCAGAAGAGAAUUGUUUGUGUUUUGGUGAGAAGAACCUGAUUUCCUCCAUGGCACAUUAAACAAUUCAUCAUCCUAA